ensembl:snRNA U6 U6 spliceosomal RNA
GUGUCCGCCUUGGCAGCCCGUGUACUGAAAUUGGAACAAUACAGAGAUCAGCACAGCCCCUGCACAAGGAUGUCAUGAAAAUGCAGGAAGUGUUCCACAUUUAA